rnacentral:rRNA from 1 species
GACGGAGGGUGCUAGCGUUGUUCGGAAUCACUGGGCGUAAAGGCGCGUAGGCGGCCUUGCAAGUCGGUUGGUGAAAGCCCGGGGCUCAACCCCGGAGGUGCGGCCGAGACUGCAGGGCUGGAGGCCGGAAGAGGAGGGUGGAAUACCCAGUGUAGAGGUGAAAUUCGUAGAUAUUGGGUGGAACACCGUGGCGAAGCGGCUCUCUGGUCCGGACCUGACGCUGAGGCGCGAAAGCGUGGGGAGCAAACAGG